GAAAAAGUCACAGCUAUACAGCUUAAAAUAAAGUCUUUAGCCGUCAGGUGUGGCAGCUAACUCCCGCCACCCUGCAGGAAGCAACAGCAAGACAUCCAUCCAUACAUUUUCUACUGCUAGUCCCUUUUGGGUCGCGGGGGUGCCGGAGCCUAUCUCAGCUGAGACAGCAAGACAUAUGUGUCACAAUUAAGCCGCAGUGGGGUCCCUGAUCUGAAUCGCUUCCGGAGUCUGAGCUGUCCGGGGACGACGAGGAUGAAGAGGACGAAGAGGAGGACGAGGAGCUGUCGUCGUCACUGUCGCUGCUGACGUCGUCGGAAGAGGAGCUGGAGGAGUCGCUGCUGUCUGAUGAGUCAUUAGAAGAGCUGUCCGAAUCGCUGCUGCUCUCGCCGGCGUCUUUCGCCCUGAGAGUGUCAAAACAAAAGAAGGUUAAAAACAAGGUACUACUGGAAUUACAAGAUGGGAGGAGGUUACAGACACUGGUGCACAAGAAAUAAUACAAUAUAAAUUAAACGUGGAUGUACUUUAGAGUAGUCUAAAUGUGAUAUAUAAAUAAAGUGGAUUGGAUUGUGUACAGCUUCACUAAAAUUGACCAAACAGUGUACUGUAGUGAUGCCAUCUGGAGGAGUGGAAGUAAAUUCCACUAACAUAAGCGGUAGAAAAUGGAUGUGCAGCUGUGGUGAAUUCCAAGCCCAAGAGUAUUAAAAGCCGGACUUGUGCUCCUACGUAGCUAUCACGCUGUUAUACAAUCCCUGGGGAAAUGAUGGAAUCCCCAGACUUGGAGGAUGUUUAUCCCGUUUAAUUUUGUAGAAGAAGAAAAAAGCAGAUAACAGACAUGACACAAAACUAUAGUCAUUUCAAAUCAAAUCUUUCUGGCUAAAAAAACACUAAAAGAAAAUCAAGAAAAUAAUUAGUGGUAGUCAGUAACAAUUAAAUUUUUAAAUCAAGCAGAUGGGAAAAAAAAUAUGGCAUUAUUUAAGGGGAGUGUUUUUUUAAGAAUGUUACAUGUAUGAACAUGGAGCAGUUUACGAAGAAGUGUAAAAACAUGAUUCUGAAAAGAUGAAGAUGAGACCGUAUAAAGUUCACCAAAAAGAGUCAUUUUUUCAUGAUCCUUUUCUUUGAGUCUUCUCUUGAUUAUAUCAUUAGUCUUAGGUUUCUCUUAUUUAUGUUGGGAAUUUGUAUUACAAUUAUCAAUAAUAUUAUUACUUGGAAGCAGGCAAAUCAUUGAAUUGUUGAUUUUUUUUUUUAUAGCGUAGUGGUGCGACUUGGUCAAGUUAGACUUCCUCUCAAUCCUUUGUGAACAUACAAAUAGCAAACACGCUUGGCUAAUUGGUUGCUGUUUUUUUUAUGUAUUUACUAUGUUCCAUGUUAAUUACUGUCCAUGUUUAAAAUACAAAUAAAGA